rnacentral:misc_RNA from 1 species
ACCCUUGUGGAGGAGGACGCCGAAGGUGGGGCUAAUGACUGGGGUGAAGUCGUAACAAGGUAGCCGUACCGGAAGGUGCGGCUGGAUCACCUCCUAACAGGGAGACAACAAAAUGUUAAAUAUUAAUUUUGUCACCUUAGGUCGAUCGGUAUCUCACAUCCUUGAUUUAUUAAGGAUUUUAUUUCCUAAGUUUUUUCUAGGUCACACCCAUUACUUUUCCUGGGCCAUUAGCUCAGGUGGUUAGAGCGCACCCCUGAUAAGGGUGAGGUCCCUGGUUCAAGUCCAGGAUGGCCCAUAUCUCUAUGUUGGGGGUAUAGCUCAGUUGGUAGAGCGCCUGCUUUGCAAGCAGGAUGUCAGCGGUUCGAGUCCGCUUACCUCCACUGAUUACCACCUCUUCCAUAAAUUACAGAAGGGAAAUGUUUUGAGUUGUGAUCAAAUUCUGAACGAAUCUAGCUUCCUAAUCAAACUUAUUAAGAUGCUGGACUCAUUGAAUUAAUUUCAUUGUUUUCAGAGAACCUUGACAACUGCAUAGAUUAUUUUAAAGACAAUAAGCAUCUUAAAUGAUGCAGAUUUAUUAUUUGUGCGAAUGCAUUAAUAACAAUUCUAUUAAGCUGAUGCUUCAAAUUUUGAAGUUAUUGGUCAAGCUACAAAGGGCUCACGGAGGAUACCUAGGCAC